GCUUCAGUAGCUCAGUGGUAGACUGCAUGGUUUGUGUGUAUGACGUACUGAGUUCAAAUCCCAGCUGGUCCC